AUACGUAGGUGACAAGCGUUAUCCGGAUUUACUGGGCGUAAAGGGCGUGUAGGCGGUCUUGCAAGUCAGAAGUGAAAUUCCUGAGCUCAACUCGGGCGCUGCUUCUGAAACUGCAGGACUUGAGUGCUGGAGGGGAUAGCGGAAUUCCUAGUGGAGCGGUAAAAUGCGCAGAUAUUAGGAAGAACACCGGUGGCGAAGGCGGCUAUCUGGACAUUAACUGCCGCGGAGGCGCGAAAGCGUGUGGAGCAAACAGGAUGGGAUCCCCUGGUGGUCCACGCCGUAAACGAUGAAUACUAGGUGUAGGGGGUAUCGACUCCCUCUGUGCCGCAGUUAACACAAUAAGUAUUCCGCCUGGGGAGUACGGCCGCAAGGUUGAAACUCAAAGGAAUUGACGGG
rnacentral:rRNA from 1 species